rnacentral:rRNA from 1 species
UCAAGCUACAAAGGGCGCAUGGUGAAUGCCUUGGCAUCAGGAGCCGAUGAAGGACGUGAUAAGCUGCGAUAAGCUUCGGGUAGGCGCACAUAGCCAGUGAUCCGGAGAUUUCCGAAUGUGGGAACACACAUGGGAAACCCCAUGUAUCGUAUAGUGAAUACAUAGCUAUACGAGGGUAAACCUAGGGAACUGAAACAUCUAAGUACCUAGAGGAAGAGAAAGAAAAAUCGAUUUCCUAAGUAGCGGCGAGCGAAAGGGAAAGAGCCCAAACCAAAGAUUUAUCUUUGGGGUUGCGGACAGAGCAUUAACGAGAAGUCGUAACUAACCGAACAUAACUGGAAAGUUAGACCGUAGGAGGUAAUAGUCCUGUAGGUGAAAGUUAAGAUAAUCAAGCUCUGAUCCAGAGUACCACGAGACACGUGAAACCUUGUGGGAAGCAGGGAGGACCACCUCCCAAGGCUAAAUACUACCUGAUGACCGAUAGUGAAGCAGUACCGUGAGGGAAAGGUGAAAAGAACCCCGGGAGGGGAGUGAAAUAGAACCUGAAACCGUGUGCCUACAACCGGUCAAAGCCCCAUAUGAGGGUGAUGACGUGCUUUUUGUAGAACGAGCCAACGAGUUACGGUAUGUAGCAAGGUUAAGUACUUAAGGUACGGAGCCGAAGGGAAACCGAGUCUUAAUAGGGCGACUAGUUGCAUGCCGUAGACCCGAAACCGGGUGACCUAUCCAUGGCCAGGUUGAAGCGAGGGUAAAACUUCGUGGAGGACCGAACCACGUUGCUGUUGAAAAAGCAUGGGAUGAGCUGUGGAUAGCGGAGAAAUUCCAAUCGAACUCGGAGAUAGCUGGUUCUCCCCGAAAUAGCUUUAGGGCUAGCGUCGGAUAUGUGUAGUGGAGGUAGAGCACUGAAUGGGCUAGGGGGCAUAUCGCUUACCGAACCUUAUCAAACUCCGAAUGCCAUAUACAUUAAGUCCGGCAGUCAGACUACGAAUGAUAAGAUCCGUGGUCAAAAGGGAAACAGCCCAGAUCGUCAGCUAAGGUCCCAAAGUGUAAGUUAAGUGGAAAAGGAUGUGGGAUUUCUAAGACAACUAGGAUGUUGGCUUAGAAGCAGCCACUCAUUUAAAGAGUGCGUAAUAGCUCACUAGUCGAGAGAUCCUGCGCCGAAAAUGUCCGGGGCUCAAACUUACCACCGAAGCUACGGGCUUGCGUAAGCAAGCGGUAGGGGAGCGUCGUAAUCGGGCUGAAGUCGUACCGUAAGGAGCGGUGGACUGAUUACGAGUGAGAAUGUUGGCAUUAGUAGCGAGAUGUAGGUGAGAAUCCUACAGGCCGAAUAUCUAAGGUUUCCUCAGGAAGGCUCGUCCGCUGAGGGUUAGUCGGGACCUAAGCCGAGGCCGAAAGGCGUAGGCGAUGGACAAUCGGUUGAUAUUCCGAUACCACUACCAUCGUUAUUAUCGAGGGUGUGACGGAGAAGGAUAGUGUGUGCUAGCGAUUGGAAAUGCUAGUCUAAGCGUUUAGGGAGUUACGGUAGGCAAAUCCGCUGUAACAAUUCUGAGGCGUGAUGGGGAAGGUCAUAUAGACCGAAGUACAUGAUUCCAUGCUUCCAAGAAAAGCAUCUAGAGAGAGAAGUAGUGCCCGUACCGCAAACCGACACAGGUAGAUGAGGAGAGAAUCCUAAGGCCGGCGGAAGAAUUGCAGUUAAGGAACUAGGCAAAUUGACCCCGUAAGUUCGCGAGAAGGGGUGCCUGCGAGAGCAGGCCGCAGAGAAUAGGCCCAAGCAACUGUUUAGCAAAAACACAGGUCUCUGCUAAAGCGCAAGCUGAUGUAUAGGGGCUGACGCCUGCCCGGUGCUGGAAGGUUAAGGGGAACACUUAGCGCAAGCGAAGGUGUGAACUUAAGCCCCAGUAAACGGCGGCCGUAACUAUAACGGUCCUAAGGUAGCGAAAUUCCUUGUCAGGUAAG